rnacentral:rRNA from 1 species
AGUCGAACGAAGUAGCAAUACUUAGUGGCAGACGGGUGAGUAACAUGUAGGUAUCUGCCCUUUGGCCUGGAAUAACACGAGGAAACUUGUGCUAAUACCGGAUAAGUCUUUACGGAGAAAGCUUUAUGCACCAUUGGAUGAGCCUGCACUUGAUUAGUUUGUUGGUGGGGUAAUGGCCUACCAAGACUGUGAUCAAUAGCUGAUUUGAGAGGAUGAUCAGCCACAUUGGGACUGAGACACGGCCCAAACUCCUACGGGAGGCAGCAGUGGGGAAUCUUGCACAAUGGAGGAAACUCUGAUGCAGCGAUGCCGCGUGAGUGAAGAAGGCCCUUGGGUUGUAAAGCUCUUUCGUCGGGGAAGAAAAUGACUGUACCCGAAUAAGAAGGUCCGGCUAACUUCGUGCCAGCAGCCGCGGUAAUACGAAGGGACCUAGCGUAGUUCGGAAUUACUGGGCUUAAAGAGUUCGUAGGUGGUUAAAAAAGUUAGUGGUGAAAUCCCAGAGCUUAACUCUGGAACUGCCAUUAAAACUUUUUAGCUAGAGUAUGAUAGAGGAAAGCAGAAUUUCUAGUGUAGAGGUGAAAUUCGUAGAUAUUAGAAAGAAUACCAAUUGCGAAGGCAGCUUUCUGGAUCAUUACUGACACUGAGGAACGAAAGCAUGGGUAGCGAAGAGGAUUAGAUACCCUCGUAGUCCAUGCCGUAAGCGAUGUGUGUUAGACGUUGGAAAUUUAUUUUCAGUGUCGCAGGGAAACCGAUAAACACACCGCCUGGGGAGUACGACCGCAAGGUUAAAACUCAAAUGAAUUGACGGGGACCCGCACAAGUAG